rnacentral:rRNA from 2 species
AUUCCCCUAGUAACGGCGAGUGAAGCGGGAACAGCUCAAAUUUGAAAUCUGGCCCUUGGGUCCGAGUUGUAAUUUGCAGAGGAUGCUUUUGGUGCGGUGCCUUCCGAGUUCCCUGGAACGGGACGCCUUAGAGGGUGAGAGCCCCGUACGGUUGGCCACCAAGCCUGUGUAAAGCUCCUUCGACGAGUCGAGUAGUUUGGGAAUGCUGCUCAAAAUGGGAGGUAUAUUUCUUCUAAAGCUAAAUACUGGCCAGAGACCGAUAGCGCACAAGUAGAGUGAUCGAAAGAUGAAAAGCACUUUGAAAAGAGGGUUAAAUAGCACGUGAAAUUGUUGAAAGGGAAGGAUUUAUGACCAGACUUUUUCUAGGGGGAUCAUCCGGUGUUCUCACCGGUGCACUUCCCCUAGUUGAGGCCAGCAUCGGUUUCUGUCGGGGGAUAAAAGCUUCGGGAAUGUGGCUCCCUCCGGGGAGUGUUAUAGCCCGUUGCAUAAUACCCUGACGGGGACCGAGGUUCGCGCAUUGCAAGGAUGCUGGCGUAAUGGUUAUUAAUCACCCGUCUUGAAACACGGACCAAGGAGUCGAACAUUUGUGCGAGUGUUUGGGUGUUAAACCCUCACGCGUAAUGAAAGUGAACGGAGGUGAGAGCCCUUCGGGGUGCAUCAUCGACCGAUCCUGAUGUCUUCGGAUGGAUUUGAGUAAGAGCAUAACUGUUCGGACCCGAAAGAUGGUGAACUAUGCGUGGAUAGGGUGAAGCCAGAGGAAACUCUGGUGGAGGCUCGCAGCGGUUCUGACGUGCAAAUCGAUCGUCAAAUCUGCGCAUGGGGGCGAAAGACUAAU